rnacentral:tRNA from 1 species
CGGGCUAUUAGCUCAGUGGUAGAGCGCGCCCCUGAUAUUUACUUCACGGGCGAGGUCUCUGGUUCAAGUCCA